rnacentral:lncRNA from 1 species
CUUUUGCUGUCAAGUAGCUAGGGUGGGCUCGGCUGGGGCGAGGAGGGGCGCCGGGUGGGGAGAUGCGCUCCCAGGUGUUUGCAGCGGAAGUGGGAAACCUGUAGGUUAUGGUCCAGCUGUGCCGCGCCGAGGCGAGCAGGAGCAGGGAACAGAUACCCACUUUGGAUCGUUUCUGAAACUGAAUUCAGAACAAUCUUAAGGCAUAGAAGCAGCAUUGACUCAGGCCAGCCGAAUUUGGAAGAUGUAAAUCCCCCAGCUCGCAGCACAGAAUGCGUUAUUUGAGAGUAUUGCGAUGCAGAGAGCCAGCUUUACUGUCAUCUAACCUGCUCUCCCCAGAAGGUUGGCUGAAGGAUGGGAGCGGCUGUGCCUGCUUCUGAGGUCACAGCUUGAAGUCCUUUUAACUUGCUUUCUGCUGCAGGAGAGAGGCAUAUUGUGGUAUAACUGUCGCUGCAUUUAUUCAAACGGACAAUUUGCAAUAAAUAUUAUACCCAGAACAACAGAACACUCCACCAUAUGAGAGUUCACAGCCUAAAGAUGUGGCCUAAUGAAUUCAGAACACAUCUGUAUAUUCUCUGUGAGUGGUGGAAAUAUUCCAACCUUCACUUAAAAC